GAUAUACUUACUUGACUAAGUACCUACAAGUAUUUAUCGUAAAUUGAGGAAAAUAUGUGCCAAAGUAUAUGUGUAAAUAUGUAGGUAUUUGUUCUAUUUCGUAUUUGUUAAUCAAGUUUAUCUUCAUCGUAAAAUCAAAGCAGUCCCGUUUUGGUCCAUAUAGUCUUGGCGCGUGAUCGCAUCCUAGAAUAGAAAUACUUAUGACACAGCCUUCGGGACUGAUAGUCCACAACACCAUUCCAAAGGACGAACGUCAACAGGCAACAAAAUCGCAGCUAGCUAGCUAAAAAUCGAUAUAGUUUACAAACACACAUUUCCAAAACAUACAUAAGAACACUCGAUUGAAUUCUCUUUCAAAUAAAAAAAAACUAGAUCAAAAUCGGUUCAGCCGUUUGGGUGCUACGAUGCUACGGACAGAUAUACAGAUACACAUACACGUUAAACUUAUAACUCCCUUCUGUCGUCGGCCGUUAAGACAUGUGAAACGCGUUAGUUAUUUUUUUAUCGAUACGUGUCGAUUUAUUCAUAAAUCUAUGGCUUUCGACUGGAAAAAAGUUGAACGUUUAUCACAGUAUUCUUUCGUGCGAACAAAACAGAGAAUGAAAUUAAUAUUUUUCUGUUUGUUUGUUCUCAUUGACGUGUGUCGCGGCUAUACAGAUUUGGAUGAGGGUCCUACGUGUUUGCAACCAAUCAAAACCGGUUUUUGUUUUGCAUACGAGCAAAGGUAUGCCUUCAACAUUGUAACUGGAAGGUGUGAGGGGUUCGUAUUUGCUGGUUGUUAUGGCAACGAGAAU